AGCGAACGCUGGCGGCAGGCCUAACACAUGCAAGUCGAACGAACUCUUCGGAGUUAGUGGCGGACGGGUGAGUAACACGUGGGAACGUGCCUUUAGGUUCGGAAUAACUCAGGGAAACUUGUGCUAAUACCGAAUGUGCCCUUCGGGGGAAAGAUUUAUCGCCUUUGGAGCGGCCCGCGUCUGAUUGGCUAGUUGGUGAGGUAAAGGCUCACCAAGGCGACGAUCAGUAGCUGGUCUGAGAGGAUGAUCAGCCACAUUGGGACUGAGACACGGCCCAAACUCCUACGGGAGGCAGCAGUGGGGAAUCUUGCGAAAUGGGUGAAAGCCUGACGGAGCCAUGCCGCGUGAAUGAUGAAGGUCUUAGGAUUGUAAAAUUCUUUCACCGGGGACGAUAAUGACGGUACCCGGAGAAGAAGCCCCGGCUAACUUCGUG
rnacentral:rRNA from 1 species